rnacentral:rRNA from 1 species
AUACAUGCAAGUCGAGCGGACCGACGGGAGCUUGCUCCCUUAGGUCAGCGGCGGACGGGUGAGUAACACGUGGGUAACCUGCCUGUAAGACUGGGAUAACUCCGGGAAACCGGGGCUAAUACCGGAUGCUUGAUUGAACCGCAUGGUUCAAUUAUAAAAGGUGGCUUUUAGCUACCACUUACAGAUGGACCCGCGGCGCAUUAGCUAGUUGGUGAGGUAACGGCUCACCAAGGCGACGAUGCGUAGCCGACCUGAGAGGGUGAUCGGCCACACUGGGACUGAGACACGGCCCAGACUCCUACGGGAGGCAGCAGUAGGGAAUCUUCCGCAAUGGACGAAAGUCUGACGGAGCAACGCCGCGUGAGUGAUGAAGGUUUUCGGAUCGUAAAACUCUGUUGUUAGGGAAGAACAAGUACCGUUCGAAUAGGGCGGCACCUUGACGGUACCUAACCAGAAAGCCACGGCUAACUACGUGCCAGCAGCCGCGGUAAUACGUAGGUGGCAAGCGUUGUCCGGAAUUAUUGGGCGUAAAGCGCGCGCAGGCGGUUUCUUAAGUCUGAUGUGAAAGCCCCCGGCUCAACCGGGGAGGGUCAUUGGAAACUGGGGAACUUGAGUGCAGAAGAGGAGAGUGGAAUUCCACGUGUAGCGGUGAAAUGCGUAGAGAUGUGGAGGAACACCAGUGGCGAAGGCGACUCUCUGGUCUGUAACUGACGCUGAGGC